rnacentral:rRNA from 1 species
CUGGUCCUUGAUGUGUAGGAUAGGUGGGAGGCUUUGAAGUGUGGACGCCAGUCUGCAUGGAGCCAUCCUUGAAAUACCACCCUUUAAUGGCUGGUGUUCUAACGUGGGCCCCUGAUCGGGGUUGCGGACAGUGUCUGGUGGGUAGUUUGACUGGGGCGGUCUCCUCCUAAAGAGUAACGGAGGAGCACGAAGGUCAGCUAAUCCUGGUCGGACAUCAGGAGGUUAGUGC